rnacentral:rRNA from 1 species
UACGAAGGGGGCUAGCGUUGCUCGGAAUCACUGGGCGUAAAGCGCACGUAGGCGGCUUUUUAAGUCAGGGGUGAAAUCCUGGAACUCAACUCCAGAACUGCCUUUGAUACUGAGAAGCUUGAGUCCGGGAGAGGUGAGUGGAACUGCGAGUGUAGAGGUGAAAUUCGUAGAUAUUCGCAAGAACACCAGUGGCGAAGGCGGCUCACUGGCCCGGUACUGACGCUGAGGUGCGAAAGCGUGGGGAGCAAACAGG